rnacentral:rRNA from 1 species
AGUGAACGCUGGCGGCAUGCUUAACACAAGCAAGUCGCGCGCCUCGCAAGGGGAGCGGCGGACGGGUGAGUAACGCGUAGGAAUGUGUCCAGAGGUGGGGGACAACCCCGGGAAACUGGGGCUAAUACCGCAUAUGUCCUGAGGGACAAAGCAGUGAUGCGCCUUUGGAGCAGCCUGCGUCCGAUUAGGUAGUUGGUGGGGUAAUGGCCUACCAAGCCUGCGAUCGGUAGCUGGUCUGAGAGGAUGAUCAGCCACACUGGGACUGAGACACGGCCCAGACUCCUACGGGAGGCAGCAGUGGGGAAUAUUGGACAAUGGGCGCAAGCCUGAUCCAGCAAUGCCGCGUGGGUGAAGAAGGUCUUCGGAUCGUAAAGCCCCUUCGACAGGGACGAUGAUGACGGUACCUGUAGAAGAAGCCCCGGCUAACUUCGUGCCAGCCGCCGCGGUAAAAC